GACGAACGCUGGCGGCGUGCUUAACACAUGCAAGUCGAACGGAAAGGCCCUGCUUUUGUGGGGUGCUCGAGUGGCGAACGGGUGAGUAACGCGUGAGUAACCUGCCCUUGACUUUGGGAUAACUUCAGGAAACUGGGGCUAAUACCGGAUAGGAGCGCCUGCUGCAUGGUGGGGGUUGGAAGGUUUCGGCGGUUGGGGUUGGACUCGCGGCUUAUCAGCUUGUUGGUGGGGUAGUGGCUUACCAAGGCUUUGACGGGUAGCCGGCCUGAGAGGGUGACCGGCCACAUUGGGACUGAUAUACGGCCCAGACUCCUACGGGAGGCAGCAGUGGGGAAUAUUGCACAAUGGGCGGAAGCCUGAUGCAGCAACGCCGCGUGCGGGAUGACGGCCUUCGGGUUGUAACCCGCUUUCGCCUGUGACGAAGCGUGAGUGACGGUAAUGGGUAAAGAAGCACCGGCUAACUACGUG
rnacentral:rRNA from 1 species